rnacentral:rRNA from 1 species
UACAGAGGGGGCAAGCGUUGUUCGGAAUUACUGGGCGUAAAGGGCGCGUAGGCGGCCUGCUAAGUCGAACGUGAAAUCCCCGGGCUCAACCCGGGAACUGCGUCCGAUACUGGCAGGCUUGAAUCCGGGAGAGGGAUGUGGAAUUCCAGGUGUAGCGGUGAAAUGCGUAGAUAUCUGGAGGAACACCGGUGGCGAAGGCGGCAUCCUGGACCGGUUCUGACGCUGAUGCGCGAAAGCGUGGGUAGCAAACAGG